AGAGUUUGAUCCUGGCUCAGGAUGAACGCUGACAGAAUGCUUAACACAUGCAAGUCUAUGAGAAGAUCUACUUCGGUAGAAGGUUAUCAUGGCGGACGGGUGAGUAACGCGUAAAGAACUUGCCUCUUAGACUGGGAUAACAGAUGGAAACGUCUGAUAAGACUAGAUAUAAUAAUGACAUGGCAUCAUGUUGUUAUGAAAGGUAACACUAAGAGAGAGCUUUGCGUCCUAUUAGUUAGUUGGUGAGGUAAUGGCUCACCAAGACGAUGAUAGGUAGCCGGCCUGAGAGGGUGAACGGCCACAAGGGGACUGAGAUACGGCCCUUACUCUUACGGGAGGCAGCAGUGGGGAAUAUUGGACAAUGGAGGAAACUCUGAUCCAGCAAUUCUGUGUGCACGAUGAAGGUUUUCGGAUCGUAAAGUGCUUUCAGUAGGGAAGAAGAAAGUGACGGUACCUACAGAAGAAGCGACGGCUAAAUACGUGCCAGCAGCCGCGGUAAUACGUAUGUCGCAAGCGUUAUCCGGAAUUAUUGGGCGUAAAGGGCAUCUAGGCGGUCAAUCAAGUCGAAGGUGAAAACUUGUGGCUCAACCAUAAGCUUGCCUACGAAACUGAUUAACUAGAGUACUGGAGAGGUGGACGGAACUACACGAGUAGAGGUGAAAUUCGUAGAUAUGUGUAGGAAUGCCGAUGAUGAAGAUAGUUCACUGGACAGAAACUGACGCUGAAGUGCGAAAGCUAGGGGAGCAAACAGGAUUAGAUACCCUGGUAGUCCUAGCUGUAAACGAUGAUCACUGGGUGUGGGCAGGAAGACUGUCUGUGCCGAAGCUAACGCGAUAAGUGAUCCGCCUGGGGAGUACGACCGCAAGGUUGAAACUCAAAGGAAUUGACGGGGACCCGCACAAGCGGUGGAGCAUGUGGUUUAAUUCGAAGCAACGCGAAGAACCUUACCAGGCCUUGACAUCCUAUGAACUUUCCAGAGAUGGAUUGGUGCCUUCGGGAGCAUAGAGACAGGUGCUGCAUGGCUGUCGUCAGCUCGUGUCGUGAGAUGUUGGGUUAAG
rnacentral:rRNA from 1 species